rnacentral:rRNA from 1 species
GACGAACGCUGGCGGCGUGCUUAACACAUGCAAGUCGAACACUGAAGCUUGGUGCUUGCACUGGGUGGAUGAGUGGCGAACGGGUGAGUAAUACGUGAGUAACCUGCCCUUGACUCUGGGAUAAGCCUGGGAAACUGGGUCUAAUACUGGAUACGACAUGCCACUGCAUGGUGGUGUGUGGAAAGGGUUUUACUGGUUUUGGAUGGGCUCACGGCCUAUCAGCUUGUUGGUGGGGUAAUGGCCUACCAAGGCGACGACGGGUAGCCGGCCUGAGAGGGUGACCGGCCACACUGGGACUGAGACACGGCCCAGACUCCUACGGGAGGCAGCAGUGGGGAAUAUUGCACAAUGGGCGGAAGCCUGAUGCAGCGACGCCGCGUGAGGGAUGACGGCCUUCGGGUUGUAAACCUCUUUCAGCACGGAAGAAGCGAGAGUGACGGUACGUGCAGAAGAAGCGCCGGCUAACUACGUG